rnacentral:rRNA from 1 species
AUACGUAGGGAGCGAGCGUUGUCCGGAAUUACUGGGCGUAAAGGGCGCGUAGGCGGCGCUUCAAGUCGUCUGUCAAAUGGGAGGGCUUAACCCUUUUUCGCAGACGAAACUGGAGAGCUUGAGAAGCAGAGAGGCAAACAGAAUUCCUGGUGUAGCGGUGAAAUGCGUAGAUAUCAGGAAGAAUACCAGUGGCGAAGGCGGUUUGCUGGCUGCAUACUGCCGCGGAAGCGCGAAAGCCAGGGGAGCAAACGGGAUUAGAUACCCCGGUAGUCCUGGCCGUAAACGAUGAAUGCUAGGUGUGGGUGUCGAGAGGCAUCCGUGCCGGAGUUAACGCGAUAAGCAUUCCGCCUGGGGAGUACGAUCGCAAGAUUGAAACUCAAAGGAAUUGACGGGG